UGGAAUGGGAGAUUGUCUACUUGUUCAAGC
rnacentral:piRNA from 1 species